GCUGCUGCGCACGCCCUCCGCGGGGGGCUGACGUCGCCCCUUUCCUUCAUCUGACCGCAAAUGAUAAAGGGAGAGAAAUCACCCCGAGCGGGAUCCCUGAAAUUUGGAGAUCUCUUGUGCCCAUUCUCGCGGAGAGGAGCGAGUUUCCUCUGGGAUGGGAGAAAUCCAGAUAUACUGUGGCAUUCCUCCCACCUGCCAGUCUGGUAACCUGAUCUGAAGAUCCUGAGAUGAGCUCGGUUUGGCUUUAGAGCAUCCAAGUUGACGUAAACUCCGUGCAGUCUUUGCUAAGUGCCUACAGAUCUCACUUCACUUGAUCCUCAGCGUAUUCAUGUAAAAAUGUUCACAGCAGCUUUAUUUACAAUAGCUGAAGACUGAAAAUGACCCAUAUUUCAUCAACAA